rnacentral:lncRNA from 1 species
CUCACCGCAACCUCUGCCUCCUGGGUUCAAGCAAUUCUUCUGCCUCAGCCACCCGAAUAGUAGCUGAGACUACAGGUGCAUGCCAUCAUGCCUCGCUAAUUUUCGUAUUUUUAGUAGAGACGGAGUUUCACCAUGUUGGCCGGGCUACUCUCAAACAUCUGACCUCAAGUGAUCCACCCACCUCGGCCUCCAAAAGUGAUGGGAUUACAGGUGUGAGCCACUGCACCCGGCCUGGAACUCUUCCAUGAAGGGGAAGAAAAAGAUAAAACCAAACACAGCCCAGAAAUUCUGGCAUACAAAUCAGAAAAGAACUACUUCUUAGCCACCUGUGCCAGAUCCUGCACUUGAUGGAUCAGCUGACACCACCCAGACCAUAAUCUGGCUCAACCAGUUCUGCAACUCCACCCAGGAACAGAAGACAGCAAGAAAAACUCACUUCGACCCCCUAUGAUUCCAUUUCCAACCUGACCAAUCAGUGCUCCCCACUUUCCAAGCCCCUACCCACCAAAUUAUCUUUAAAAACUCUGAUCCCUGAAUGCUUGGGAGACUGAUUUGAGUAAUAAUAAAACUCUGGUUUCCCAUACAGCCGGUUAUGCAUGAAUUACUCUUUCUCUAUUGCAAUUCCCCUGUCUCGGUAAAUUGGCUCUGUCUAGGCAGCGGGCAAGGUGAACCUGAUGGGCAGUUACCUAGCAAACAGCUAAAGUGGAAACCUCAGAAAAAG